GGUGGAUUAGUGGCGAACGGGUGAGUAACACGUGAGUAACCUGCCCUUCACUUCAGGAUAAGCCUUGGAAACGGGGUCUAAUACUGGAUAUGACUCAAGCUCGCAUGGGUUUGGGUGGAAAGAUUUUUUGGUGGGGGAUGGGCUCGCGGCCUAUCAGCUUGUUGGUGAGGUAGUGGCUUACCAAGGCGACGACGGGUAGCCGGCCUGAGAGGGUGACCGGCCACACUGGGACUGAGACACGGCCCAG
rnacentral:rRNA from 1 species